rnacentral:tRNA from 1 species
GGGUAUAGCUCAGUUGGUAGAGCGUCGGUCUCCAAAACCGUGCGUCGAGGGUUCAAGUCCUUCUGCCC